UACGUAGGUGGCAAGCGUUGUCCGGAAUUAUUGGGCGUAAAGCGCGCGCAGGCGGUCCUUUAAGUCUGAUGUGAAAGCCCACGGCUCAACCGUGGAGGGUCAUUGGAAACUGGGGGACUUGAGUACAGAAGAGAAGAGUGGAAUUCCACGUGUAGCGGUGAAAUGCGUAGAGAUGUGGAGGAACACCAGUGGCGAAGGCGGUUCUCUGGGACGGUACUGACGCUGAGACGCGAAGGCGUGGGGAGCAAACAGG
rnacentral:rRNA from 1 species